rnacentral:rRNA from 1 species
UACGUAGGUGGCAAGCGUUGUCCGGAAUUAUUGGGCGUAAAGCGCGCGCAGGUGGUUUCUUAAGUCUGAUGUGAAAGCCCCGGGCUCAACCUGGGAACUGCAUUGGAAACGUAACGGGCUCGAGUGUGGCAGAGGGGGGUGGAAUUCCACGUGUAGCAGUGAAAUUCGUAGAUAUUCGGAGGAACACCAGUGGCGAAGGCGGCUCGACUGGUCCAUUACUGACGCUGAGGUGCGAAAGCGUGGGGAGCAAA